GACGAACGCUGGCGGCGUGCUUAACACAUGCAAGUCGAACGAAGUGGCGAACGGGUGAGUAACGCGUAAUCAACAUGCCCUUCAGAGGGGGACAACAGUUGGAAACGACUGCUAAUACCGCAUACUGAAGGAGGGGCUUGCGUCUGAUUAGUUAGGUGGAGGGGUAACGGCCCACCAAGGCGAUGCGUAGUCGCCGGUCUGAGAGGAUGAACGGCCAAAUUGGGACUGGGACAAGGCCCAGACUCCUACGGGGGGCCGCAGUGGGGAAUCUUCCGCAAUGGAAGAAAGUCUGACGGAGCAACGCCGCGUGAGUGAUGACGGCCGUCGGGUGGUAAAGCUCUGUUAAUCGGGACGCGGUACCGGAAUAGAAAGCCACGGCUAACUACGUGCCAGCAGCCGCGGUAAUUC
rnacentral:rRNA from 1 species